AUUGAACGCUGGCGGCAGGCCUAACACAUGCAAGUCGAGCGGAAGAAGGGAGCUUGCUCCUGGAUUCAGCGGCGGACGGGUGAGUAAUGCCUAUGAAUCUGCCUGGUAGUGGGGGAUAACGUCCGGAAACGGGCGCUAAUACCGCAUACGUCCUGAGGGAGAAAGUGGGGGAUCUUCGGACCUCACGCUAUCAGAUGAGCCUAGGUCGGAUUAGCUAGUUGGUGGGGUAAAGGCCUACCAAGGCGACGAUCCGUAACUGGUCUGAGAGGAUGAUCAGUCACACUGGAACUGAGACACGGUCCAGACUCCUACGAGAGGCAGCAGUGGGGAAUAUUGGACAAUGGGCGAAAGCCUGAUCCAGCCAUGCCGCGUGUGUGAAGAAGGUCUUCGGAUUGUAAAGCACUUUAAGUUGGGAGGAAGGGCAGUAAGUUAAUACCUUGCUGUUUUGACGUUACCAACAGAAUAAGCACCGGCUAACUUCGUG
rnacentral:rRNA from 1 species